GUCAUAGCGACUUUUGGGAUAGUUUGCUAUCGACAAAGGGAGACAAAGUCAAGGGGUGAAGGGAAAGGAGGGCCAAGUAGAGCCUCCACGACCCUCGGCUUCCUCCUCACCAGCUCCCCCUCCCUCCAAGUCCAGUAAGAAGUUGGGCCAAGCUGGAAGGGAUUGACCGGGUUGCUUGUCUGGAGAUGGAGCCACUACAGGCGGGCCUGGGCGCCUGGAGUCGGGCAUGAAAGAAAAUAGCGCCUCAUCGCUCUUAUCUAAGCCCAGAGGUCCAGGGGACAACCUGAGGGCCCUGAAGUGUUUCAAUACCAUGUACCAGCUUGACUUCUCUACAUGUCCUUUGGAUUGCCCAAAAGCAAAAUCUCAGAGGGGCCAAGGACCUUCUAGGGCUGGCUCCCUCAGGGCCUCCUAUAGAGCAGCUCCUUGAGUCGGGCCUUAUAGCCACCAGAAAGUCACCUCGCCGCAGGAAAGCUAUAAAGAGCUGCUCCAGAGGCGCCGAAAGAGGGUAGACUUCGCUUGAAAAGAUCGAGAAUGGAGGAGGGGAUCGGCACUCACUUGCAGACAUCAACAGUUUCCAGAAAAUUCGGUUCAAUUCCUUCACCACGGACCCACCAACCAAGGAGCUGGCAAAACCCACUAACCAACCAGGAGAACACAGACCCGGUUUGUCUUUUGACAACCGAGUGGAACUGACGGGGCCGGCGCCUGCCCUGCGGGUCCCCUCCCUUGGCUGAGAAGAAAACCAAAUAAACCUUGAACAGCCUUGGCUUCG